CUUGCCCCUCCCUUCACCCCCUGCCCGGAGCUGGCGGGACCUGGGCGAGGCCAGAUGUGUGCAGUUAUGUUGGGGCACAGCCCAGGGCCUGGGAGCCACAAGCUUCUGAAUUCUCCAGUCACCUUCCCCUCAGUCCGAGGACCUGAUCUCAUCUGGAGAGUCUCACCCUGUCACCCAGGCUGGAGUGCUUUGGUGCGAUCUCGGCUCACUGCAACCU